GGAGGAAUCGUGGUAAGGAGUGAAAUACAAAUCGGACUAGGAUAUAGCUGGUUUUCUGCGAAAUUUGUUUUAGCAAAUUGUUUAUUUAUUAUUAUCUGUAGGUAUAGCACUGAAUAUCUAAUGUAUAUAUGUGGAGGGAGUGUUAAUAACAUUUACCUCGGAUAUUUAAUCUCAAAAUGACAGAUGAAAGAAAUUUUAAUUUUAUUUAAAUAAAUAAUCGGACUAUUCGCGAUAAGGUGGAUAGUCAAGAGGGAAACAGCCCAGAACAGUAAUUAAGGUUCUUAAAUUAAUAUUAAGUGAAUUAAAGGAAGUUAUGUUUCUUAGACAAUCAAGAAG
rnacentral:rRNA from 1 species